GUAGAAGCGCGCGCGGGGCUCCAGGAAGCAGCGUUCGCGCUGCAGGUGGUAGAAGAGCUGUGCACAGAACAUUUGCACCAAUGGAUUUUCUUAUCGCUGCUUGUCCAACAAUGGCAGGAAAUCAACUCCAUUGCACACAAGCAGCUGGAUGAAGAGCUAAUUGUGGAGAGUCGGUCUUCCUUCCUGACCUUUUUUGGGGGGGGCUCAUGUGACUCACCUCUCCUCCGUUGAUGUAGUCGAGGACAAAGUAGAGUUUGUCAGCUGUCUGGAAUGAGUAGUGCAGGCCCACUAA